CCACAAGCCACGCUCUUGGCUCCAACCGCAGCGUUAGGGCCCCGCGAGGGGAAAUGAGGGGCGCCGCUGAAGAAGUGGCACUCACUGGGCAAGUGCCGCCCCAAGACUCCCGGAGCUGGACGGCACCGAGCUAAGGGCACCACCUGUGAGAUCGAGCCCCUCUAGCCCUGCAAUCAAGUGACCGCAGGGAUCCAUGGUCCGUGCGCACCACUCUGAGGGCAGGUGUUCCCAGUGCUGGCUCUUGUUCAGGUUUCAGUUCUGUGCCAAUUCUCUUAUUUGCUCCCCCUCCCCCAACACAAUCCUACAGGAUUGUUUUUUGUUUUUGUUUUUGUUGUUUUUUGUUGGGGGGGCGGGUUGCUGCUGAGGAAACAGCCUUUGAAAGAAUAAGUGAUAUGGGCAAGACCACGUAGUAACUGUGAAAAAUGCCAACACGUCGUCUGUGGAUAAGAGAAGAAACAAGAUUGUUGGGGGCCAUACAAAUAAUGACUGGUCUGAUUGUUCACUUCGUGGGACAGCUCUGGACGUAUUUGUUUACCACACAAGUUAUUGCAUUUGGAAAAGCGUAUCUUCCUCUUGUAGUAAUAACAAGAUACGCAUAUUGGUCAUCUGUGUGUUUUCUCUUCUCGGGAGUCUUUGCAGUAUUAACAGAGAGGAUGCGUUCAACGUUCUUGAUGUCCUAUACUAUGGCAGUGAACAUCGUAAGUGCCUGCGCUGCCGUGAUUGGUCUGCUUAUACUGUCAUUUGAGUUUAUAAUAUACAGUUUGACUACACAAGCUCCUAUUUGGCCCGAGAGAAGUGGUAAAAUCCUUUCAGAAUAUCUGUUUUUAUUCACCAUCUUGGAGUUGUUUACAGCGUGCACAGUGGCCCAUUGGAUAUACAAAGCUAAACAUCUCAGAUAAUAAAGAUGUGGAGAAUGGAAAUGCAAAUUACCAAAUAAUGUGAAAAAAAUGAAGGAGCCCAAGGAAAUCUUUCAUCUAAGCUAUGAGAUGAGGUACACGGCAGAAGGGGAUCCUUUUCCUACAUAUUAAAGAACUGUAAUGACCUGAGUCAAGGAGGAAAGUGUAGUGGUGAAUGAAGAACUUCAUUUUGUUCAAGAGGCUUCUUGGAAAAUGCAUUUUAAUGAAGUCCAUCGUAGUAUUUCCUUUCCCGCAUUUCAUUAAUAAAAAUUUUAAUUGAUAAA